UACGUAGGGGGCGAGCGUUGUCCGGAUUUAUUGGGCGUAAAGAGCUCGUAGGCGGCUUGGCAAGUCGGGUGUGAAAACUUCAGGCUCAACCUGGAGCGGCCACUCGAUACUGCUAUGGCUUGAGUCCGGUAGGGGACCACGGAAUUCCUGGUGUAGCGGUGAAAUGCGCAGAUAUCAGGAGGAACACCAGUGGCGAAGGCGGUGGUCUGGGCCGGAACUGACGCUGAGGAGCGAAAGCGUGGGUAGCAAACAGG
rnacentral:rRNA from 1 species